rnacentral:rRNA from 1 species
UACAGAGGUCUCAAGCGUUGUUCGGAUUCAUUGGGCGUAAAGGGUGCGUAGGCGGCGCGGUAAGUCGGGUGUGAAAUCUCGGGAGCUUAACUCCGAAACUGCAUUCGAUACUGCCGUGCUUGAGGACUGGAGAGGAGACUGGAAUUUACGGUGUAGCGGUGAAAUGCGUAGAUAUCGUAAGGAAGACCAGUGGCGAAGGCGGGUCUCUGGACAGUUCCUGACGCUGAGGCACGAAGGUCAGGGGAGCAAACGGGAUUAGAACCGGUACUC